rnacentral:rRNA from 1 species
CUACGGGGGGCAGCAGUGAGGAAUAUUGCGCAAUGGGCGAAAGCCUGACGCAGCGACGCCGCGUGGGGGAUGAAGGUUUUCGGAUUGUAAACCCCUUUCAGGAGGAAAGAUAAGGCGGGUAACCGCCCGGACGGUACCUCCAGAAGAAGCCACGGCUAACUUCGUGCCAGCAGCCGCGGUAAUACGAAGGUGGCGAGCGUUGUUCGGAUUUACUGGGCGUAAAGAGCGCGUAGGCGGUUAGGUAAGCCUCUUGUGAAAGCUCCCGGCUUAACCGGGAAUGGUCGAGGGUAACUACCUAGCUAGAGGGCGGGAGAGGAGCGCGGAAUUCCCGGUGUAGCGGUGAAAUGCGUAGAUAUCGGGAAGAAGGCCGGUGGCGAAGGCGGCGCUCUGGAACGCACCUGACGCUGAGGCGCGAAAGCGUGGGGAGCAAACAGGAUUAGAUACCCGUGUAGUC